rnacentral:SRP_RNA from 1 species
GCUGGGUGUGGUGGUGCGCACCUGUAAUCCCUGCUACUUGGGAGGCUGAGACAGGAGGAUUGCUUCAACCCAGGAAGCAGAGGUGGCAGGGAGCCAAGAUUGUGCCACUGCACUCUAGCCUGGGUAACAGAGUAAGACCCUGUCUCAA